ensembl:lncRNA
GGGAGAGAGGUGAGGGAGAGUCUCGUGUGCGCAUCUGAGGGAAGGGCUUUCCGGGGAGAAAGCAGCUGGUGCAAAGGUCCUGAGGUGUGAGUGUAGCCCGGUUGAUUCCAAGACUUGUGAGAAGAUCACGGUGACUCAAGGAAGGAGCAAGAGAUAGAGCAGGAGCACAGUAAGGAACGGAGAAGGCAAUGGCACCCCACUCCAGUACUCUUGCCUGGAAAAUCCCAUGGACGGAGGAGCCUGUCGUGCAUCGUUUUUCCCUGCGGUAGAGCUUUUGUGACACAGCGUGGUGGCUGGUUCUUGGUUGGCACAUGCGCAGUACAGGGGCCGCCUCUUCUGUUCCCGCACUCAGAGUUCACCUUGUUCUACUCGUGGAACUCCUUUCCUGCUGAGACCUGCACUUGCCUCAAGACUGCUCAGCACAGUCCUUGAACUUGGCAUACGGGGAGCCAGUUCGCUAACCGUGAGUUCACUGUUAACACAGUGGCUCUUCAGGAUGGAGCAUCUUUGUCUCUGGCCUCAGUGGGGUAGCCAAAGUACUUAGCAGGCACUCAGUGCAACUUCGUUGAAUGAAUGUCGAUUCCAGUAGUUAAAGCAAAGGUCUGAAAUUGUGGUCCUCAACCCCCACCUCCACCGCCACACACACAC